AGCUGAUGAAAUGAUUAAAGC
rnacentral:misc_RNA from 1 species